rnacentral:rRNA from 1 species
GACGGUCUUGCUGUCACUUAUAGAUGGAUCCGCGCUGCAUUAGCUAGUUGGUAAGGUAACGGCUUACCAAGGCAACGAUGCAUAGCCGACCUGAGAGGGUGAUCGGCCACACUGGAACUGAGACACGGUCCAGACUCCUACGGGAGGCAGCAGUAGGGAAUCUUCCGCAAUGGGCGAAAGCCUGACGGAGCAACGCCGCGUGAGUGAUGAAGGUCUUCGGAUCGUAAAACUCUGUUAUUAGGGAAGAACAUAUGUGUAAGUAACUGUGCACAUCUUGACGGUACCUAAUCAGAAAGCCACGGCUAACUACGUGCCAGCAGCCGCGGUAAUACGUAGGUGGCAAGCGUUAUCCGGAAUUAUUGGGCGUAAAGCGCGCGUAGGCGGUUUUUUAAGUCUGAUGUGAAAGCCCACGGCUCAACC